rnacentral:lncRNA from 1 species
UGGUAAUUAAGGGAAGAUGGAAUAGCAGUCUUUAUAAAGUGAAAAUAAUGUAUUGGUUUGAAAAUCAAUCAGAUCCCAGAUCCAAUUGUAAUCACAGAGAACCUUAAAUAAUUAAGGAAAGAGUCAUAUAGAUAUGGAAAUAAUUCAAACGUUGGUACGGAAUCACAGAAGAUAUACACAAGACCAUGUAUUUAAGGAAAACAUCCUAAGUAUGAGAUUUUACACAAAAAAGGAUCAAAAUAAACAGCCAGUAAGGUAAAAGGAUUCAAUCGAAAGAAAUCAGUGAUGAAUCACUAGCAUGAUUAAAGGGAAUUAAAAAUCAAUCCUUGGUGAAAUCUUUUGAAAGGGAAGUUUUUCUCAUAUAUAAGUAUACAGUUCAAACAAAAGAAAAGUCUAACAAUGAAAGUUUCAGAACCACAGGCAAAUAGGAUUUGAGUUCAAUUACAGGCUCACCCAGAUGUGAAAGCUUGAUGAAACCCCGUCUUUUUUAGCAUCAACCACUUUUUCCCAUCCCAAGUAAUGUUAUGAACUUUCACUCCCUAUCUAUACUAGAACCUCGAGCCUCUUUCUUCUUUCUGUGCAGCAGGCGUUGAUUGAUGGGAUAAAAGAAGCACGCUGUGGAAUCGAACCACAAUCUUUUUCCUUACAUGGCGAA